UCUGGUUGAUCCUGCCAGUAGUCAUAUGCUUGUCUCAAAGAUUAAGCCAUGCAUGUCUAAGUAUAAAUAGUAUACAGUGAAACUGCGAAUGGCUCAUUAAAACAGUUAUAGUUUAUUUGAUAAUUGACAAUUACAUGGAUAACCGUGGUAAUUCUAGAGCUAAUACAUGCUUAAACGCCCGACUUUAUGGAAGGGUGGUAUUUAUUAGACUGAAGCCAAUAUUCCUUGUGUCUAUUGCGGUGAUUCAUAAUAACUGAUCGAAUCUCUUUUUGAGAUAAAUCAUUCAAGUUUCUGCCCUAUCAGCUUUCGAUGGUAGUGUAUUGGACUACCAUGGCAGUAACGGGUAACGAAGAAUUAGGGUUCGAUUUCGGAGAGGGAGCAUGAGAAACGGCUACCACAUCUAAGGAAGGCAGCAGGCGCGUAAAUUACCCAAUCCUGACUCAGGGAGGUAGUGACAAGAAAUAGCAAACCGGGAACCUCAUGGUUUCACGGUAUUGCAAUGAGAACAAUUUAAAACCCUUAGCGAGAAUCAAGUGGAGGACAAGUCUGGUGCCAGCACCCGCGGUAAUUCCAGCUCCACUAGCGUAUAUUAAAGUUGUUGCAGUUAAAAAGCUCGUAGUUGAACCUCUGUCUGGGGCUAGUUUUGGCUUUGGUCGGGCUAGUUCUAGGCAUCCGCCUACGAGACUUAGAGGGCAUUCAGUUGUUCACUAGGAGGAGUAGGCAUCUUACUUUGAAAAAAUUAGAGUGUUUAAGGCAGGCAAUCGCCCGCAUAUAUUAGCAUGGAAUAAUAGAAUAGGACACUUUUCCAUUUCGUUGGUUAUUGGAAUCGUGUAAUGAUUAAUAGGGACAGUUGUGGGCAUUUGUAUUUAAUUGUCAGAGGUGAAAUUCUUGGAUUUAUUAAAGACAAACUAACGCGAAAGCAUUUGCCAAGGAUGUUUUCAUUAAUCAAGAACGAAAGUUAGGGGAUCAAAGACGAUCAGAUACCGUCCUAGUCUUAACUAUAAACUAUUCCGACUCAAUGUUUGACUGGCUUAUAUAACCAGUUGAGCGUUGUAUGAGAAAUCAAAGUCUUUAGGUUCUGGGGGGAGUAUGGUUGCAAAGCUGAAACUUAAAGGAAUUGACGGAAGAGCACAACCAGGAGUGGAUUCUGCGGCUUAAUUUGACUCAACACGGGGAAACUUACCAGGUUAAGACAAUAGUGGGAUUGACAGUUUGAGAGCGCUUUCUUGAUUGGUUGGGUGGUGGUGCAUGGCCGUUCUUAGUUGGUGGAG
rnacentral:rRNA from 1 species